rnacentral:rRNA from 1 species
UACGAAGGGGACUAGCGUUAUUCGGAAUCACUGGGCUUAAAGGGCGCGUAGGCGGGCGGCCGAGUCCGGGGUGAAAGCCCCCAGCUCAACUGGGGAAGUGCCUCGGAUACUGGUCGCCUCGAGGGAGAUAGGGGCGUGCGGAACUUCCGGUGGAGCGGUGAAAUGCGUAGAUAUCGGAAGGAACACCGGUGGCGAAAGCGGCGCGCUGGAUCUCUUCUGACGCUGAGGCGCGAAAGCCAGGGGAGCGAACGGG